rnacentral:rRNA from 1 species
UACGUAGGGGGCAAGCGUUGUCCGGAUUUAUUGGGCGUAAAGAGCGUGUAGGCGGCCAGGUAGGUGGGUUGUGAAAACUGGAGGCUCAACCUUCAGACGUCGACCCAAACCCCCUGGGCUAGAGUCCGGAAGAGGAGAGUGGAAUUCCGUGGUGUAGGCGGGUGAAAUGCGCAGAUAUCAGGAAGAACACCCGUGGCGAAGGCGGCUCUCUGGGACGGUACUGACGCUGAGACGCGAAAGCGUGGGGAGCGAACAGG